UCAAGCGAACAAGGGCGCAGGGCGAAUGCCUUGGCACUGGGAGCCGAUGAAAGACGUGAUAAGCUGCGAUAAGCUUCGGGGAGCUGCAAAUAAGCAUUGAUCCGGAGAUUUCUGAAUGAGGAAACUCACCUGGGUUCAUACUCAGGUACGUUAUACUGAACUUAAAAAUAGGUAUAUCGAGGGAACCGCCUGAACUGAAACAUCUAAGUAGGGCGAGGAAGAGACAUCAAACGAGAUUCCGUAAGUAGUGGCGAGCGAACGCGGAAGAGGGCAAACCGAAGGUAGAAAUACCUUCGGGGUACGGACUGCUUUUAGGACUCAAUCUGUUAACCGAACGGCAUGGGAAGGCCGGUCAGAGAGUGUGAGAACCACGUAGGUGAAAACGGAAAGAGCUGCGCAGAUUCCAGAGUACGGCCAGACACGUGAAACCUGGUCGGAAGAUGGGGGGACCACCCUCCAACCCUAAAUACUACCCAGUGACCGAUAGCGUAUAGUACUGUGAAGGAAAGGUGAAAAGCACCCCGGGAGGGGAGUGAAAAAGAACCUGAAACCCUGUGCCUACAAGCACCUAGAGCACGUCAAUGUGUGAUAGGGUACUUUUUGUAGAACGGUCCGGCGAGCGAUUGUAUGCAGCAAGGUUAAGGACUUAAGGUCUGGAGCCGAAGCGAAAGCGAGUUUGAAAAGGGCGUUAAGUUGCAUAUAAUGGGCCCGAAACCGGGUGACCUACCCAUGGUCAGGUUGAAGUGGAAGUAAAAUUCCAUGGAGGACCGAACCGACCUCCGUUGAAAAGGCGGCGGAUGAACUGUGGGUAGCGGAGAAAUUCCAAUCGAACCCGGAGAUAGCUGGUUCUCCCCGAAAUAGUUUUAGGACUAGCCUCAAGUUAGAUACCUGGAGGUAAAGCACUGAAUAGCCUAGCGGCCGAGAGGUUAGCGAAGCUUAUCAAACUCAGAAUGCCAGAGUAUUGAUGCUUGGGAGUCAGACAGUGUCAGAUAAAUGUCAUUGUCAAAAGGGAAACAGCCCAGAUCUACAGCUAAGGUCCCAAAGUCAGGUUAAGUGGAAAACGAUGUGAAGAUACGCAGACAACCAGGAUGUUGGCUCAGAAGCAGCCACUCAUUCAAAGAGUGCGUAAUAGCUCACUGGUCGAGCGUCUUUGCGCGGAGAAUUUAACGGGGCUAAACCUGACACCGAAGCUUAGGCAAUACAGCAAUGUAUUGGGUAGGGGAGCGUUGUAUACGCGGUGAAACAGUAGCGCAAGCGGCUGUGGAGUGUAUAGAAGUGAGAAUGCCGGAAUGAGUAGCGCGAAUGCAGUGAGAAUCUGCAUGGCCGAAAGCCUCAGGUUUUUGGAGGAAGGUUCGUCCGCUCCAAGUUAGUCGGGAGCUAAGGUGAGGCCGGAAGGCGUAGCCGAUGCACAGACGGUAGAGAUUCCGUCACCACCAAAAGAGUUAAGCACAGGGACACAUUUGAAGUCUCAGAGCCGGGUGUUGGUUCCGGUAGAGAUCGAGGGAAGUUAGUACCGAAGUCUGAGAUGGAAGAUGGCGAGAAAAGCUGUGUGUAUUUCUGAGGUGCCCGUACCGCAAACCGACACAGGUAGGUAGGAAGAAGAUUCUAAGGCCAACGGGAGAAGGGUUGUUAAGGAACUCGGCAAAUUGACCCCGUAACUUCGGGAGAAGGGGUGCUCCAGAGAUGGAGCCGCAGAGAAUCGGCCCAAGCAACUGUUUACCAAAAACACAGGUUUGUGCUAAAUCGAAAGAUGACGUAUACGAGCUGACGCCUGCCCGGUGCUGGAAGGUUAAGAGGAGAUGUGCAAGCAUUGAAUCGAAGCCCCAGUGAACGGCGGCCGUAACUAUAACGGUCCUAAGGUAGCGAAAUUCCUUGUCAGGUAAG
rnacentral:rRNA from 1 species